AUUGAACGCUGGCGGCAUGCCUUACACAUGCAAGUCGAACGGUAACAGAUCUUCGGAUGCUGACGAGUGGCGAACGGGUGAGUAAUACAUCGGAACGUGCCUAGUAGUGGGGGAUAACUACUCGAAAGAGUGGCUAAUACCGCAUGAGAUCUACGGAUGAAAGCAGGGGAUCGCAAGACCUUGUGCUACUAGAGCGGCCGAUGGCAGAUUAGGUAGUUGGUGGGAUAAAAGCUUACCAAGCCGACGAUCUGUAGCUGGUCUGAGAGGACGAUCAGCCACACUGGGACUGAGACACGGCCCAGACUCCUACGGGAGGCAGCAGUGGGGAAUUUUGGACAAUGGGCGCAAGCCUGAUCCAGCAAUGCCGCGUGCAGGAUGAAGGCCUUCGGGUUGUAAACUGCUUUUGUACGGAACGAAAAGCCCUGGGUUAAUACCCUGGGGUCAUGACGGUACCGUAAGAAUAAGCACCGGCUAACUACGUGCCAGCCGCCGCAGUAAAAC
rnacentral:rRNA from 1 species